ensembl:snRNA LOC120101222 U7 small nuclear RNA
AAUUUUUCAUAGUUCUUUUAAAAUUUUUCUAACAGGAUUUCUGCUUGGUCAAAAAUCCCAA